CGACCCUAGGUCAAGCAGGAUUACCCACUGAGUUUGAGCAUAUAAAUAAGUGGAGAAAAAGAAACUUACAAGGAUUCCCUUAGUAAAGACGAGUGAACCGUGAAAAGCCCAGCCUUAGAAUCGGGAGACUCCAUCAUCCAAAUUAAAAUCUGGAGAACCGUCCUCAGAGGUGGACCGGGCCCAAGUCCCCCUGAAGGAGGAGCCAGAGAGGGUGAGCGCCCCAUUGCUCCCAGACCCUGUUGCACCAUGAGGCACUAUCUAUGAGUUGGGUUGUUUGGGAAUGCAUCCUAAAUCGGGUGGUGAAUUCUAUCCAAGGCUAAAUAUGGGCAAGAGAUUGAUAGCGACAACUACCAUGAGGGAAAGAUGAAAAGGACUUCGAAAGGAGAGUCAAAGAGUGCUUGAAAUUCUCAAGAGGGAAGUGUAUUGGGGUCGUCGAUGCAUCCCGGUUGGAUGAGGAACGGUGACAAGCCACUCUGCUGAUCGACUCGGGGCGUGGACUAGCAUGGAUUAGGGAAGCGGCCAAAGCCUGGGCUCUCGAUAUGCUCGUGGAUUGUCGUCUCCUCAAUUGUGGCAGGCAGCGUGCCCCUCUGGCGUGCUUCAGCAUCUGCGCACUCCGGACGCUGGCCUGUAGGCUCUCCAUUCUACCUAUCUUGAAACACGGACCAAAAAGUCUAAUAUGUAUGCGAGUCAAUGGGCGAGUAAUCCCGCAAUGCGUAAGGAAGCUAAUUGAUGGGAUCCCCCUGAUGGAUGCACCGCCUACCGACCUUGAUCUUUUGAGAAAAGUUCGAGUGUGAGCAUACCUGUCGGGACUCAAAAGAUGGUGAACUAUUGCAGAGCGGGACAAAGAUAGAGGAAACUCUGGUGGAGGCCCGCAGUGAUACUAACGUGCAAAUCAUUCAUUUGACUUGGGUAUAGAGGCAAAAGAUUAAUUAAACCAUCUAGUAGAUGGUUCCCUCCGAAGUUUCCCUCAGGAUAGCUGAAGCUCAUGUGCUAGUUCUAUCGGGUAAAGCCAAUGAUUAGAGGCCUUGGGGGUGCAAUUCCCUCGACCUAUUCUCAAACUUUAAAUAAGUAGGAUGGUGCGUCUUCUUUGUUGAGCCACGCUACAAAAUCAAGAGCUCCAAGUAGGCUAUUUUUGGUAAGCAGAAUUGGCGAUGUUGGGUAAAAUAGAAGUUGGGUUGUCGUACCAAACUGCGUGCUAACCUAGAUCCCACAAAAGGUGUUGGUCGAUUAAGAUAGCAGGAUGGUGGUCAUGGAAGUCAAAAUCCGCUAAGUAGUGUGUAACAACUCAUCUGCUGAAUAAACUAGCCCCAAAAAUAGAUGGCAUUUUAGUGUAGGACCUAUACCCUGCCGUCGGGGCAAGUGCCAGGCCCUGAUAAGUAAGAGGGCAUGGCGGUCACUGCAAAAACAUUGGGCCAAGCCUGGGCAGAGCCACUAUCAGCGCAGAUCUUAGCAGUAGUAGCAAAUAUUAAAAUAAGAACUUUAAAGGCCAAAGAGGGGAAAGGUUCCAUGUGAACGACACUUGCACAUAGGUUAGUCGAUCCUAAGGGUUGGGGGAACCCCGACAGAUAGCGCAUUUCGUGCGUACUUCAAACAGGAAUGGGGUUAAAAUUUCUGAACCAGGACAUGGCGGUUAACAACAUUAUUAGAAAGUCUAAAGAUAUUGGUGGGAGCUUCAGGAAAAGUUAUCUUUUAUGUUUAAAACCCUUCCCACCCUUGAAUCGGCUCAGCUGGAGGUAGGGUCCAGCGGCUGAAGAGUACCGCACAUCAUGUGGUGUCUGGUGUGCUCUCGGUAGCCCUUGAAAAUCUGGAGGACGGAAUGUUAUCCACGCCCGAUCGUAUGGGACAUAGUAGGCAAGGGAAAUCGGAAAAAUAGAUUCAUAACUUUGGGAAAAGGAUUGGCUCUGAGGGCUAGGCAAAACCGCCGGCUAUCAGUGGACCACUCGAGCUGCUCCCAAGGCGAGAGCAGGAUCCGUGGACCAGCUGGGGGACAGACUGGGAACGGUUCCUUCGGUGGCCUUCCCUACAUGUAGAUCAACAAACUCAGAACUGGUACGGAUAAGGGAAUUCGACUAUUUAAUCAAAACAAAGAAUUUCGAUGGUCCCAACGGAUGUUCAUGCAAUUUGAUUUUCGCCUAGUGCUCUAAAUGUCAAAGUGAAUAAAUUUAACAAAGCGCGGGUAAACGGCAGGAGUAACUAUGACUCUCUUAAUAUAGCCAAAUGCCUCAUCAUCUAAUUAGUGAUGCGCAUGAGUGGAUUAAUGAGAUUUCCAUUGUCCUUGUCUACUAUCCAACGAAACAACAACCAAGGGAAUUGGCUUGGCAGAAUCAGCAGGGAAAAAAGACCCUGUUGAGCUUGACUCUAGUCCUACUUUUUGAAAUGACUUGAGAGGUGUAGUAUAAGUGGGACCCAAAAGGCAAAAGUGAAAUACCACUACUUUUAAUGUUAUUUUACUUAUUUCGUGAAUUAGAAGAGGGGCACUACUCAUCUUUUUGGACCCAAGGCUCGCUCUGUAGGCUAAUUCGAGCAGAAUACAUUGUCAGUUAGGGAGUUUGGCUAGGGAAGCACAUCUAUUAAAAGAUAACGCAGGUGUCCUAAGAUGAACUCAAUGAGAACAGAAAUCUUGUGUGGAAAAGAAGGGUAAAAGCUUGUUUUAUUCUAAUUUCCAGUACGAAUACAAACCAUGAAAGCGUGGACUAACUAUUAUUUAGAUCUUUGGAAUUCGAAGAUAGAGGUGUCAGAAAAGUUACCACAGGGAUAACUAGCUUGUGGUAGCCAAGAGUUCAUAGCGACGUUGCUUUUUUAUACUUCUAUGUCGGGUCUUCCUAUCAUUGUAAAGCUGAAUUCACCAAGUAUUGGAUUUUUCACCCACCAAUAGGGAACGUGAGUUUGGUUUAGACCAUCGUGAGAUAGUUUAGUUUUACCGUACUGAUAACAGUGCCGCAGUAUUAAUUCAACCAAGUAUGAGAGGAACCAUUGAUUCACAUAAUUGGUUAUUGCGCUUGGUUUAAAAGCCAGUGGUGUGAAGCUACUGUCUGUUGGAUUAUAAAUGAAUGCCUAUAAGUAAGUUUCCAGGCUAUAAUUGAUGCAUGCGCCGGUGGUCUGCUUGGCAACCCGCAGUAGGGGCCACGGCCCCCAAGAGCAUCGUUGGCUAAGCCAAAACUGCAGAAGGUUUGUGGUGGCCGCCUUGAAGUACAAUCUCCAUCAAGCUGCAGGUAGAAUCCUUUGUAGAUGACUUAAAUACACGAUGGGGUAUUGUAAGUGGUGGAGUGGCCUUGCUGCCACAAUCCACUAAGAUUCAGCCCUUUGUCGCUCUAAUUUGU